GUUCCGCGGGGAGAGGGAAGGCGAAGGCGGGCUGAGCCCGGCGCCGGGAGGAGUGGUCUAAACUCCACCGCGGCUUUCGCAUCGGAGACGUGUCUUUAGGAAGCAGAGAGGGUUCGAUUCUGGACUCCGCCCAUGACUCACUUCUCUUGUAAAGAAAGAGUUGUCCUUCCUGGUACUCCAGGUUUAUGGGAUGCAGGAUAAUGGAGCAUGCUCUAUCUGGGACAUUGCUAGUCUUAUGACAGAGGGAGAAGACAGCGAUGAGUUUUCGAAGAACUCCAGGAAGUGGCUGCAGAGCAAAGUAGGAUCCUGAUACUGAGCUCAAGUGAUUCAGAAUGAAAAGACCUUGGCACAGACCUGUUAAGGAAGCUCCAUAUAAGGUGAAGAAAACAACAUGCUCAGCCAUGUCCUUGCCUUCUGCACACGGUAGUGCAUUCACUGCCUGAGAAUUCAAGGCUAAAACAAAAAGAGGAGCUUUUGUUCCAACAGAUAAGUACUUACCUUUUUCAAAAAAUGCAUAAGCUGUCCUGGGUGUU
rnacentral:lncRNA from 1 species